rnacentral:tRNA from 1 species
GGACAGGUAGUUUAGAUGACUAGAACAGACCAAGGGUCUUCAAAGGGCCAGGGGUAAAACGGUGGUUAAAGUCCACCCCUGUCCACCA